AGCAAGUGAGGGGAAGGGCCAGGAGCCCCGGUGGAACCCUCCUUAGCCUGUGGAGAUCCACUGCAGUUUGUGCCAGGGGUCCCCAACCGCCGGGCCACGGACCACUACCAGUCCAUGGCCUAUUAGGAACCGGGCCGCACGGCAGGAGAUGAGGAGCAAGCAACUGAGCGAAGCUUCAUCUGUAUUGACAGCCGCUCCCCAUCGCUCACAUUACCACCUGAGCUCCGGCUCCUGUCAGCAUUAUGGUUAAGAACAUCGCGCAGACUGAGUUAUUAAAGUUGAUCCAAAAGAGCAAUCUGUUCUAAAUGACGGUCCCUGGAUCUGCCACGGAACCCUGGGACAUGGGUUCGAGCCCUGGUCUGGGAAGAUCCCACAUGCCGCGGAGCAACUGGGCCCGUGAGACACAACUACUGAGCCUGAGCGUCUGGAGCCUGUGCUCCGCAACAAGAGAAGCCGCGAUAGUGAGAGGCCUGCGCACCGCGAUGAAGAGUGGCCCCCACUCGCCGCAACUGGAGAAAGCCCUCACACAGAAACGAAGACCCAA